GAUGAACGCUGGCGGCGUGCCUAAUACAUGCAAGUCGAGCGAACAGAUGAGGAGCUUGCUCCUCUGACGUUAGCGGCGGACGGGUGAGUAACACGUGGAUAACCUACCUAUAAGACUGGGAUAACUUCGGGAAACCGGAGCUAAUACCGGAUAAUAUAUUGAACCGCAUGGUUCAAUAGUGAAAGACGGUUUUGCUGUCACUUAUAGAUGGAUCCGCGCCGCAUUAGGUAGUUGGUAAGGUAACGGCUUACCAAGGCAACGAUGCGUAGCCGACCUGAGAGGGUGAUCGGCCACACUGGAACUGAGACACGGUCCAGACUCCUACGGGAGGCAGCAGUAGGGAAUCUUCCGCAAUGGGCGAAAGCUUGACGGAGCAACGCCGCGUGAGUGAUGAAGGUCUUCGGAUCGUAAAACUCUGUUAUUAGGGAAGAACAAAUGUGUAAGUAACUAUGCACGUCUUGACGGUACCUAAUCAGAAAGCCACGGCUAACUACGUG
rnacentral:rRNA from 1 species